rnacentral:rRNA from 1 species
UUGGAGGGCAAGUCUGGUGCCAGCAGCCGCGGUAAUUCCAGCUCCAAUAGCGUAUAUUAAAGUUGUUGCAGUUAAAAAGCUCGUAGUUGAAUUUCGGGGUUCUACCGUUGGUCGGGCUUUGUCUGUACUGGUGUGUAGAAUUUCUACCUUCUGGGGAACCAUCAUGCUAUUAAUUUAGCGUGGUGGGAAACCAGGACCUUUACCUUGAAAAAAUUAGUGUGUUCAAAGCAGGCUUAUGUCUGAAUACAUUAGCGUGGAAUAAUAGAAUAGGACGGUGGUCCUGUUUUGUUGGUUUCUGAAUCACCGUAAUGAUUAAUAGGGAUAGUUGGGGGCAUUAGUAUUCAAUUGUCAGAGGUGAAAUUCUUGGAUUUAUUGAAGACUAACUUCUGCGAAAGCAUUUGCCAAGGAUGUUUUCAUUAAUCAAGAACGAAAGUUAGGGGAUCGAAGACGAUCAGAUACCGUCGUAGUCUUGACCAUAAACUAUGCCGACUAGGGAUCGGACGAUGUUAAUUUUUCUUGACUCGUUCGGCGCCUUACGGGAAAC